GGGUGACACAGUGAGUCCCUGUCUCAAAAAAAAAAAAAAAAAAACUUUUGUAAAAAUGGGAGGAGAAAAUCCCGGGUAUUUAAGUGGUAAAAAUAACAGCAUGUUUGUAUGAUCUGGAGACAAUCAAGAGGAAGAAAGGGAGAAUUUGCUGGGGCAACAGGUCAACAGAGAAGUGUGAUCUAUUGCCCAAUUAGAAGAUUCCAAUUCGCAACCAGGGAUAUCUUAUUGGUGCACACGCUAAGCGAGCACAUAUGUCUGGGGAAGCUCCAGGUUGAUUGCUUCCUCAGUGAAGUAGGAAACAGUUGAAAGUUAGCAGUAAGGAUGGGGAAGAGGUUUGAGGAAUUUGAAGAGAGCUUUAGGAGAGCAAAUGAAGUAGGGACAAAUGUUCCACCAUCUGGCAGCACUCACGUAUCACUGGAAGUAGGAGGUCACGAGGCUGACGCUCUGCGGCUACCUGCAGCUGCAGACUAUGAGGGACGAAGAAGACCCACAUCAGCAGAUAACUUCAUUAUAUUCCCAGAUAUUUCUCUAAACAUCCCUCCCACUUUAGAGGUAUUUAAUGGCUUGCCAGUGCCUUCAAGGCAAAUUCCAAACAAACCGAAUCGCUUAUACUCAUUAAUCUUUGCAAGCUCGAUAAUUUCAAACACAUGAGACUACUACAAACCUUCAAAAAUCAGCAGCCCACCCUGGGCUGAGUGAGUCCCCAUCUCUACAAAAAAAAAAAAA